rnacentral:piRNA from 1 species
UAAGUGAACAUGCUCAAAUCGAUCUGC